GGUACCCAGGAUAGAGGUGAUGAGUGCCCGACCGUCGUGAGGGUCUCCGCCAAUUCUCAGUGUUUCAUUGAGAGCACGGGCGUACACAUGCACGGCGUCGUACAGGUACGCUGCCUCCGCACGGAUCUGAGGAGUAAGCACAAGACGUCACUGGAAAACUGUCAUUGGUUAAGCAAAAAGUUAAUGUGGCAAAAAAAUAGACGGAACGCAUGUUAGCAGGACUUAGUGUCACCACACCAUAUCUCAUGGCCUCUUCAACUGGAGUGAACAAGACAAGAGUUAACUCUCACCAUGAAGAGGAAUCACCUGAGUUAACUCUCACCAUGAAGAGGAAUCACCUGAGUUAACUCUCACCAUGAAGAGGAAUCACCUGACCUUGAUAGAACCACGGAAAGGAAUCACUGUGUGAAGACAGUGGUUUAACAUUAUUUUUAGUUCAUUAAUAAAUUAUAAAAUUAUCCCUGAUGUGCAUUAAAUAUAUGCAUAAAUUUUGA